CCCUACGGGAGGCAGCAUUGGGGAAUCCUACGGGAGGCAGCAGUGGGUAAUCCAGCACAAUGGGGGGAACCCUGAAGCAGCAACGCCGCGUGUGCGAUGAAGCCCCUAGGAAGUAAAUCCUUCAACCGGGACGAGAGUGACGGUAGUCAGAAGAAGCACAGCUACACG
rnacentral:rRNA from 1 species